rnacentral:rRNA from 1 species
UAUCUUGCCCUGAGAUCAAGCAAGGCUACCCGCCGAAUUUAAGCAUAUAACUAAGCGGUAGGAAAAGUAA